CAGUCGAGAAUUUUUCUCAAUGGGCGAAAGCCUGAAGGAGCGACGCCGCGUGGGGGAUGAAUGGCUUCGGCCCGUAAACCCCUGUCAUUUGCGAACAAGUUGAUUCACCUAACACGUGAAGCAUUGAUUGUAGCGAAAGAGGAAGGGACGGCUAACUCUGUGCCAGCAGCCGCGGUAAUACAGAGGUCCCAAGCGUUGUUCGGAUUCACUGGGCGUAAAGGGUGCGUAGGCGGUUGAGUAAGUCUGGCGUGAAAUCUCCGAGCCUAACUCGGAAACUGCGUUGGAUACUAUUCAGCUAGAGGAAUGGAGGGGAGACUGGAAUACUUGGUGUAGCAGUGAAAUGCGUAGAUAUCAAGUGGAACACCAGUGGCGAAGGCGAGUCUCUGGACAUUUCCUGACGCUGAGGCACGAAAGCCAGGGGAGCAAACGGGAUUAGA
rnacentral:rRNA from 1 species